rnacentral:rRNA from 1 species
UACGUAGGGGGCAAGCGUUGUCCGGAAUUAUUGGGCGUAAAGAGCGCGUAGGCGGUCCGAUAAGUCGGCUGUGAAAGUCAGGGGCUCAACCCUUGAAAGCCGGCCGAUACUGUCGGACUAGAGUCCGGAAGAGGCAAGUGGAAUUCCCGGUGUAGCGGUGAAAUGCGCAGAUAUCGGGAGGAACACCAAAGGCGAAGGCAGCAUCCUGGGAAGUCUCUGACGCUCAGGGACGAAAGCUAGGGGAGCGAACGGG